GAUUUUAUAGCUUAAAUUAAAAGCAAAGCUUUGAAGGGGCUUAGAUAAUUGUUAUAUUUAGAAUCA
rnacentral:tRNA from 1 species